rnacentral:ncRNA from 1 species
UUAAUCUGGUAAGACUCCUUAUAGACGAUAAGGUUGAUAGGCUGGAAGUGGAAGCGUGGUGACAUGUGAAGCGGACCAGUACUAAUAAGUCGAGGGCUUAACUUA